rnacentral:rRNA from 1 species
AUACGUAGGGUGCAAGCGUUAAUCGGAAUUACUGGGCGUAAAGCGUGCGCAGGCGGUUUUGUAAGACAGAGGUGAAAUCCCCGGGCUCAACCUGGGGACUGCCAUUGUGACUGCAAAGCUGGAGUGCGGCAGAGGGGGAUGGCAUUCCGCGUGUAGCAGUGAAAUGCGUAUAUAUGCGGAGGAACAUCGAUGGCGAAGGCAAUCCCCUGGGCCUGCACUGACGCUCAUGCACGAAAUCGUGGGGAGCAAACAGGAUUAGAUACCCUUGUAGUCCACGCCCUAAACGAUGUCAGCUGGUUUUUGGGCAUUGAUUUUCUCAGUAACGAAGCUAACGCGUGAAGUUGACCGCCUGGGGAGUACGGCCGCAAGGUUAAAACUCAAAUGAAUUGACGGGG